GGCCUCCCAAUGCUUACCAAAGGCUGUGUUAUUUACACUGAAAAGAAAGAGGAGGUACAGUAAAUGCUCCACAUAUACACCUCAAACCAGGACCUUUGCCUGGUCUGUAUUGUGAAUGGGGGACAAAA